UACAGAGGUCUCGAGCGUUAGGCGGAAUCACUGGGCUUAAAGCGCGUGUAGGCGGAUCGUUAAGUGCCUUGUGAAAUCCCACGGCUCAACCGUGGAACUGCUUGGCAUACUGGCGGUCUUGAGCAACCUAGGGGCGAGCGGAACAAAUGGUGGAGCGGUGAAAUGCGUAGAUAUCAUUUGGAACGCCAAUGGUGAAAACAGCUCGCUGGGGGUUUGCUGACGCUGAGACACGAAAGCCAGGGGAGCAAACGGG
rnacentral:rRNA from 1 species